rnacentral:lncRNA from 1 species
AUCGUCAUAGGCUGACCCAAGCCUCUAUUGUUUUUAGAACUUUUAUUAACAGAAGAGGGAGACAAUUCUUUUUUCAGGAUCCAUACGUCUAUUAUUAUACAAAACUUCUGAUUGCAGCUACUUAGAACAUAUGGUUAUUUGGUGGGGCUGCAUGAGGGUUGGGAAUGGGGGCAGGCAGGGUUGACUGGGACUAAGCCACAUAUUUCUAUGGAUUCUGGGAGGAGAUAAUUCCCAAAGAAGAGUGUGCAACACAGAAGAAAACUGUCUAUUUAAGUAUAAAACAGGAAUCUUCAAAGGAAAUGUAAGAAAGCAUGAGACCGUGCAAAAUGAAAUGAUGAAAACUUUUGGCUAGCACGCUGAGAUCAAGUCAUCACAUGGAUGGGAACGUUUUCUAAUACGAGCACUAUCUUCCGUUUUGUUUCUCUCCCCAACAUCUCCUGCUGCCUUCAGUUGACAACCCUAUUUACAUCGCUUCUGAGAAAGUCAAGCUCAAAAAGAUUGUGUUAUGAAGACUUAGAAAUUAUGCUUUGUGGCAAAUGUGAUGCCAAGAUUCUUGCUUGGAGUGUGUACUGCAAUACAGGCACAGAGGCGUAUCAGAAAGGGUGAGGCCAGCGCAUGGAGGGCAGUGCAAUAAAUUGCUGUGGGCUGAUCCAACACCAGAACAUGUGAGCUAUUAAACUUUGGCAGCUAUUUUAUUUU